UUUGGCGCGGUUUUUCUGUGCGCUCCGCCCCAGACCUUCCUGAGAAAGAAUUGGCUGUGGCGCAUGAGGGAAGUGAUGUGCUGACUCACUGUAAACUUUGUGACAGGCGCAAUGUCUGAAGGAACAAGAAAAAUGCGUGGAUAUGAUUUAGUCUGGGUUGUGUUUUAGGUGUGAGCACGUCAUGGCCACCCAGUAGCAAAGGCCUCUAGCAGAAAGGCUAUUUACUGUGUGACAAUUGUUAGGUGCUUUGCUGGUUACGUCAGUCACGACCAACCAAUGGCCCUCCAGCUGUUAUACUGCACCUUACCAGCCCACAGCCUUACAAUAAAUCCUGGCAUGCAGGUGCUGAGUCUCACCAGGUUUCCAAGAGAUUGUGUUUCCAGAGAGUGUCCAUGUUCCUUUGGGCUGCUAGAUUGUAAAGGGAAUCACUCCCGGCUGAUGUGGGCUGUGUGAAAAGUAAGAAGAUGGCGGCUCUCAGGUAAGCAAUAAAAAAAUUAGCAACCCCACUUGUGAUACGAUUGUUUAAAAUUAUCAGUUCAGUCCCAUAUUGCCUACCUCAAGGUGGGCAUAUCAGGGAAAUAUCUGCUUGUUUGGUGACCUUGCCAAACAAGCAGAUCUUUUAUUGUAUGGCCAGCUUGAGGCAGUCAACAAUCUGAUCAAUCUGACUGGUUUCUUUGGGUGACUAGAACAGCAUAAGUAGCAGUGUGCAUGAUAACAUCAGUAGCCAAGCUUUGUAUCAGUGGCAGAAAACAUGCCUGCCUCCAUUAUUAAAUA